rnacentral:rRNA from 1 species
AUUGAACGCUGGCGGCAUGCUUUACACAUGCAAGUCGAACGGUAACAGGGAGCUUGCUCCGCUGACGAGUGGCGAACGGGUGAGUAAUGCGUCGGAACGUGCCGAGUAGUGAGGGAUAACGCAGCGAAAGUUGUGCUAAUACCGCAUACGUACUGAGGUAGAAAGUGGGGGACCUUCGGGCCUCACGCUAUUCGAGCGGCCGACGUCUGAUUAGCUAGUAGGUGAGGUAAGAGCUCACCUAGGCGACGAUCAGUAGCGGGUCUGAGAGGAUGAUCCGCCACACUGGGACUGAGACACGGCCCAGACUCCUACGGGAGGCAGCAGUGGGGAAUUUUGGACAAUGGGCGAAAGCCUGAUCCAGCCAUGCCGCGUGUCUGAAGAAGGCCUUCGGGUUGUAAGGACUUUGUCGGGUAGGAAGUACCCCAGCGCUAAUACCGCUGGGGAGUGACGAGUACCUGAAGAGUAAGCACCGGCUAACUACGUAGCCAG